AUUCUCUUCAGCAGUGAGCCUGUGAAAUUGAAACAGUUAUCUGCUUCCACAGUACAAUGGUGGGACCGGCACAGGAUGGAAAUUCUCAUUUUAAAAAGGAGACAUAGGUGGAUGAAGCCAUGCUCCCAUGGCUCUUGCAUUCUGCAUGCCUGCAGACUCAAUACCAUGUGGACACCACCGAGGCUUAUCACUUGUACCUUCUGAAGCGGUGGCCAGAAAGCAGUGCAGGCAUAUGACUGAAGAAGACAAAUGUUGUGAAGUUUGUCUAAUUGUUUCGUAACUUCGAGGCCAGACAGAAUAUGAGAUUAAGGAAAUGGAUCCCAUUGAUUCUUCAUUUUUUUCUGCCACCAAAUCCAAAAUUCUUCUUGAAUUUUAUUCUUCCCUCUACUUACAAUGGAAAAAUGCCCUGUCAAAUCCAAGUUGAAUCCUUGCAGUUUUGUUCUAUAUCAUAUAUCUUCCAUCAUUUACUCAAAAGAUUUCACUCCUACAGUUAUUACCUUUGGAAUUUACGUUUAAGUAUAGUAUCAAAAAGAGAUAUUUAAUUUUCCCAUGGAUAAAAGCAAUCUUCCAAUAAGUACAAAGGCCUUUUUUUUUGGAUAUUAGCUUUGUCUCAACAUUCUAUUUGUGUACAUAUGUAACCAUCAGCAUUCUUUUAAUUAUUGUUUUACAAAAUGCAUAUAACCCAAGUUGCAAAGUGUGUACGUUGAUCAAAAUUGUCUUCGUUAUUUUAUAUUUUUAUUCAAGAUCAAAUUUAGAAUGAGUUUAUCCAUUAUAUUACAGGCAUAUUUUUGAAAAUAUUAGUUUUGAUGGCUUUUAUUUACUUUGGAAAAGAUUAUGUAUUUCAUAAAAAGCAAAAAAUGCUUUAAAGUUGUGUUUGUUUAUAAAUUUAUUUGAAGAAAAAUUGGAAAUUUUAUAAUAUAUAUUUUCCCAUGUUGAAAUAAUAGUUUUUUAUAAAAAUGUGUACUUUUUCACAUUAGUUAUAUAUUUCUGUUUGAGCAAUUAUAGUAUCUCAAGUGUUUAUUGUGAUUUUUGUUAUUUUUCUAAUUGAUUUUUCUGCACAUUAUAAAAGCUAUUUCCUUGUGUGUAUGUUGUGCUUAUAUCUGUGUAUGUUGUGCUAACUCACUUUGCUAAAACUUUUGAUAAUUUAGUAUUGAUUCUCAUUGGAUAGAUAUUAUUUAUUUUAAAAUAUUUUAAAUAUACAAAACUUAAUAGAAAAUAACAAUAAAAUGUCUAUUAAUCUACUUCAUAAAAUGUUAACAUUUUAUCCUUUUCCUUCAGGUUCUUUUAAAGAAAAUCUGUUGAAGUCCCUAUGAUUAUCCAAAUUAAAUUCCAACACUUUUGCAAUAGUGUCCACUAUUCAAUAACAUUCCAACACUUUUGCAAUAGUAUCCACUAUUUCGCAAUGGUAUCCACUAAUAAGGAAAUUGGGCAUUAUAAUUUGUAUGAAUUUUUAUACAAUAACAAAUAUGUACAGAUAUGUGUGUACAGUUGUUUUAUAUAACAUUUUAUACAAAUGACAUGUAUAUCUUACGCUAUUUUUAAUGAAAUACAUUUUAUGACACAUAUUCAUCAUAUAGAUAUAUCUGUUGUCUAUUCAUGUUGGUACUGUAUAAAUGAACCAAAAUAUAUUUCUCCAGUCUCCUCUAGAGGACCAAUAAUUUAGCACUACACACACAGCAGUAAUGAAUAUUCUUGUACAAAUCUCCUUCUAUCUCUGGCAACUUUUGUAAUUCCUUCUGUGUUGUAUUCAUAUUUUUAUAUCUCCUUGAUUGUAUUUGAAUAACAUAAUUUUAUAUAAAUCAUUAUUUAUACUGAUUAUCAAAAUUUUAGUCUAGAAUUAUAUGUACUAUUUUGUGUCAAAAAAGUUACUUUCAUUUGUAUCUGAAAUUGUAUCAUAUUUAACCUGUUUAAAAACUUUAACUUUGAAAUCUCUUACUGUCACCAAUUUUACUGUUUCUUUCAUAUUAGAAAUAGAAAAACAAAUAGAAGUUUAUUAAAGGAGCUUAUUUAAUCCCAAGAGGUGCAAUUCUGAAUGUCAUAAUCCUGAAUGUUGAAAUCCCACGUGAUCAAAUUUCUGAAAUUAUAACUCUGGA
rnacentral:lncRNA from 10 species